rnacentral:rRNA from 1 species
CAAUAGCGUAUAUUAAAGUUGUUGCAGUUAAAAAGCUCGUAGUUGGAUUUCUGGUUGAAGCGACCGGUCGGGCGUUGAUUCGUCUGCACUGGAGUCGGUUUUGGCCAUCCUCUAGGAAAGUGCGUCUGGUAUUAAGUUAUCGGGCGUAUGAUCCUGGUCUUUUACUGUGAAAAAAUUAGAGUGUUUAAAGCAGGCCUUCGCCUUGAAUACAUUAGCAUGGAAUAAUAAGAUAGGACUUUGGUCUAUUUUGUUGGUUUGCAGACCGAAGUAAUGAUUAAUAGGGAUAGUUGGGGGUAUUUAUAUUCCGAUGUCAGAGGUGAAAUUCUUAGAUUUUCGGAAGAUAAACUUAUGCAAAAGCAUUUACCAAGGAUGUUUUCAUUAA